rnacentral:lncRNA from 1 species
GGUAGAAUGGACUUUCUGAUGCUUCUCUGUCUCUUCGUUGGGUGAUAAGGCUCAGAGAAGAAACACGCCCAGGUCACAGAACUAGGCGGUUGAGAAGUCAGGGUAAAGCAGUCCUGGGCACUGUGUUAACGUGUGAUGCAGUUGCUGUGGGGAAGGACUGUGAGGUUCUGGGGGUAUUGCAGGCAAGCUGGCCCGUGCGAGGGGCUGGACCCAGUCUGUCAAAUGCAUGAAGAGUGGAAUUAGGUUAAUGUGUUCAGAAAAUUAUUUGACUCGCUCAUGCUUCAGAAACAGAAGUGUGUAUGCAGGAGACAUGAAAUAAAGAGUCCUGAUUAUUCUAACUGCUCAUCCUCAUCAAAUGAGGAAACGAUUAAAAGCACCAUAUAUAAGUGUGUUAUCUUUAUUACUGUGAUUCCUUUAAUAAUUUCUAAUUCAAAUUGUGUUUACAAUAGAAUCAGUCAAAAGCAGAGUCCUCUGAAUGGGAAUCAAAUGUAGAAAGAUGAGG